GAAACAAUGAUAAAAAUUUGCGCGGUUACAAUUCCCCCCAAUUGAAAUUUUUUUGGCCUUUUUCUCUUUGUUUCCCCCGCAACAGACAUUCUCUCCUCAUCCGGCUCUCGAUAAACUGUCUCUCGCUCAAUUUACUCUCUAGUAACACAUUUUUUCAACUUUAUUUUAGGUGUGUUCUUCAAUUUUAGACAUAUCGUCCUUCGAUUUGAGGCAUAUAUCGCUAAUUUGGGCUAAUUAAGAGGAUCUUCUUUAGGUGAUUAGGGUUUUUCGGCGAAGCUUGGAAUUGGGGCUUUCACAUGUAAAGAUUCUUUGGCUGCCCAGGGAAAGCGUCGUUACGAUGGUAACCAAACUGGUUAUUUCUUUGUCAUUUUCAAGGUGUUUUUUGCAGGCGUAUUUAAUUUGUUAAAUUUAGGGAUUGUAUGGAUGUUGAAUUUUUGAGAUAUUGUAUGACUUUAAAUAUCAAGCUGCAAGUGUGGAUGAUGAGGGUAUUGGUGUUAAGAUUGCUGGAUUUGCUCAGUUUUCUAGUCCAAAGAAACACAAUGGGGCUGCAGGUCUAGAUAUGAGGCUAUGUUUAGGAAACCUUUGUGAAUCUUUGCGAGCAGCAGAAUACUUCUGGUCAGCCUAUGGAUAGAAAUGCAUUAUUUCUUAAUGCAGUUGGAGGUCCAGACAAUUGAACAGGGUAUAUGGAGUUGGUUCAUCACAAGCAACUUCUAUCAGUCUGAAAUUAUGCCUUGCACUUCAACCGUUGUCAAUGAAGAAAAUGAGUAGCUGAAGUACAACUGAUAGAGAUGAAUGAGCGGAUGGAAGUGAUGGAAUAUCAAAUUGCCAGGUUCAUUCAGGCUAAUUCAGUCCGAGAUUCUCAGGGACCUGAUGUAGAUAGUCAAAAUGAUGAUAAUUAAGAUUUGUUUUAGUAACUGCAGUGUUAGUUUCAUUUAUGUAUGUCGCUUAUGACUUAAAACUAUUGCAUAUGACAUUAUAAAUGUUGAGAUUAUUAUAUAUAUUUUGUUGUUACUUCA